GAUGAACGCUGGCGGCGUGCCUAAUACAUGCAAGUCGAGCGAACAGACGAGGAGCUUGCUCCUCUGACGUUAGCGGCGGACGGGUGAGUAACACGUGGAUAACCUACCUAUAAGACUGGGAUAACUUCGGGAAACCGGAGCUAAUACCGGAUAAUAUAUUGAACCGCAUGGUUCAAUAGUGAAAGACGGUUUUGCUGUCACUUAUAGAUGGAUCCGCGCCGCAUUAGCUAGUUGGUAAGGUAACGGCUUACCAAGGCAACGAUGCGUAGCCGACCUGAGAGGGUGAUCGGCCCACCUGAAACUGAGACCCGGUCCAGCCUCGUACGGGAGGCAGAAGUAGGGAAUCUUCCGCAAUGGGCGAAAGCCUGACGGAGAAACGCGGCGGGAGUGAUGAAGGUCUUCGGAUCGUAAACCCCUGUUAUUAGGGAAGAACAAAUGUGUAAGUAACUAUGCACGUCUUGACGGUACCAAAUAAGAAAGCCCCGGCUAACUACGU
rnacentral:rRNA from 1 species